CCUACGGGAGGCAGCAGUGAGGAAUAUUGGUCAAUGGACGAGAGUCUGAACCAGCCAAGUAGCGUGAAGGAUGACUGCCCUAUGGGUUGUAAACUUCUUUUAUAUGGGAAUAAAAUGUUCCACGUGUGGGAUUUUGUAUGUACCAUAUGAAUAAGGAUCGGCUGACUCCGUGCCAGCAGCCGCGGUAAUACGGAGGAUCCGAGCGUUAUCCGGAUUUAUUGGGUUUAAAGGGAGCGUAGGUGGAUUGUUAAGUCAGUUGUGAAAGUUUGCGGCUCAACCGUAAAAUUGCAGUUGAAACUGGCAGUCUUGAGUACAGUAGAGGUGGGCGGAAUUCGUGGUGUAGCGGUGAAAUGCUUAGAUAUCACGAAGAACUCCGAUUGCGAAGGCAGUUCACUGGACUUCAACUGACACUGAGGCUCGAAAGUGUGGGUAUCAAACAGGAUUAGAUACCCCGGUAGUC
rnacentral:rRNA from 1 species